AAUUCUAUAUUACAGAAGUUUAAAGUUACAUUACAAAUUAGCUAUGAAACUAGUAAAUUUCUAAAAAAAAGUUAGCCAGUCUAAAACUGAAUAUCAGAAUCGAUUGUCAGUUAAUAUUAUUGAUAUGCCUUGCAGAUGAAGGGAAAAAACUGUUUCUAAAUCUGUUCGUUUUGGUCUGAGGAACAACAAAAGACCUUGAGUGUCUAAGGUCGUAAUUUGGAAAGCAUCUAGAUGGUACAUGAUUAUGCAUAUUAGCUACUGGUGUUGUGGUGAUUUCAUUAAACAGUUUCUCGCAUGCAUCCACACGCCUGUCACUUAAUGGUUUGAUGCCCGAUUUUUGUAAACAAUCCGCAUAACCUGUCAGUGGAUAGAUGAUUGAUA